UCCCAGUGAUGAAAACCCACCACGUCUUACUGCCUGCUUGGUGCCAGAAACUGCAAAGUUUGAACCCACUGGUACCAGCAGGUGGAAAAGAGGAUGGAUUGCUUCAGAAGAAGCUGUCUGAUGGGAC